CCUACGGGAGGCUGCAGUGAGGAAUAUUGGUCAAUGGACGCAAGUCUGAACCAGCCAUGCCGCGUGCAGGAAGACGGCUCUAUGAGUUGUAAACUGCUUUUGUACGAGGGUAAACGCAGAUACGCGUCUCUGUCUGAAAGUAUCGUACGAAUCAGGAACGGCCAACACCGUGCCAGCAGCCGGGGUAAUACGGAGGAGUCAAGCGUUAACCGGAUUUAUGGGGUUUAAAGGGUGCGUAGGAGGUCUGAUAAGUUAGAGGUGAAAGCCCGAGGCUCAACUUCGGAAUUGCAUCUGAUACUGUUCGGCUAGAGAGUAGUUGCGGUAGGCGGAAUGUAUGGUGUAGCGGUGAAAUGCUUAGAGAUCAUACAGAACACCGAUUGCGAAGGCAGCUUACCAAGCUACUUCUGACGUUGAGGCACGAAAGCGUGGGGAGCAAACAGGAUUAGAUACCCUUGUAGUC
rnacentral:rRNA from 1 species